rnacentral:rRNA from 1 species
UACGGAGGGUGCGAGCGUUGUCCGGAAUCACUGGGCGUAAAGGGCGCGUAGGCGGCCUGAUAAGUAGGGGGUGAAAUCCUGCGGCUUAACCGCAGGGCUGCCUUCUAAACUGUCAGGCUGGAGCACAGUAGAGGCAGGUGGAAUUCCCGGUGUAGCGGUGGAAUGCGUAGAGAUCGGGAAGAACAUCAGUGGCGAAGGCGGCCUGCUGGGCUGUUCUUGACGCUGAGGCGCGAAAGCUAGGGGAGCAAACGGG